GACGAACGCUGGCGGCGUACUCAACACAUGCAAGUCGAACGGAAAGGCCCUGCUUUUGUGGGGUGCUCGAGUGGCGAACGGGUGAGUAACACGUGAGUAACCUGCCCUUGACUUUGGGAUAACUUCAGGAAACUGGGGCUAAUACCGGAUAGGAGCUCCUGCUGCAUGGUGGGGGUUGGAAAGUUUCGGCGGUUGGGGAUGGACUCGCGGCUUAUCAGCUUGUUGGUGGGGUAGUGGCUUACCAAGGCUUUGACGGGUAGCCGGCCUGAGAGGGUGACCGGCCACAUUGGGACUGAGAUACGGCCCAGACUCCUACGGGAGGCAGCAGUGGGGAAUAUUGCACAAUGGGCGGAAGCCUGAUGCAGCAACGCCGCGUGCGGGAUGACGGCCUUCGGGUUGUAAACCGCUUUCGCCUGUGACGAAGCGUGAGUGACGGUAAUGGGUAAAGAAGCACCGGCUAACUACGUG
rnacentral:rRNA from 1 species